UACGGAGGGGGCUAGCGUUGUUCGGAAUUACUGGGCGUAAAGCGCACGUAGGCGGCUUUGUAAGUUAGAGGUGAAAGUUCGGGGCUCAACCCUGGAUCGGCCGUCGAUACUCCCGGGCUUGAGCACUGUAGAGGCAGAUGGAAUUCCGGGUGUAGCGGUGGAAUGCGUAGAGAUCCGGAAGAACACCGGUGGCGAAGGCGGUCUGCUGGGCAGUAGCUGACACUGAGGCGCGACAGCGUGGGGAGCAAAAGGG
rnacentral:rRNA from 1 species